UACGUAGGGUGCGAGCGUUGUCCGGAAUUAUUGGGCGUAAAGAGCUUGUAGGCGGUCUGUCGCGUCUGCUGUGAAAAUCCGGGGCUCAACCCCGGACUUGCAGUGGGUACGGGCAGACUAGAGUGUGGCAGGGGGAGACUGGAAUUCCUGGUGUAGCGGUGAAAUGCGCAGAUAUCAGGAGGAACACCAGCGGCGAAGGCGGCGCUCUGGGCUGGAACUGACGCUGAGGAGCGAAAGCGUGGGGAGCAAACAGG
rnacentral:rRNA from 1 species